UACGGAGGGUGCAAGCGUUAUCCGGAUUCACUGGGUUUAAAGGGUGUGUAGGCGGGUAUUUAAGUCAGUUGUGAAAUCUCUGAGCUCAACUCAGAAACUGCCAUUGAUACUAUUUAUCUUGAAUAUCGUUGAGGUUGGCGGAAUAUAUCAUGUAGCGGUGAAAUGCAUAGAUAUGAUAUAGAACACCGAUUGCGAAGGCAGCUAACUAAGCGAUGAUUGACGCUGAGGCACGAAAGCGUGGGGAUCAAACAGG
rnacentral:rRNA from 1 species